AACAACAACCCAGUAUAGUCCCACCAGGUGGGGUCUGGGGAGGGUAAUAUGUAGACGAGCCUUACCCUACCCGAAAGGGCAGAGAGACUGUUUCCAANNNNNNNNNNNNCCCACCAGGUGGGGUCUGGGGAGGGUAAUAUGUAGACGAGCCUUACCCCUACCCGAAAGGGCAGAGAGGCUGUUUCCAAUCGAUCCUCGACUCAGUGGAGAAAAGGAGGAACAGAAAUAAAAACAAAAGAAAAAACAAUAAAGUAUUAGUAACUCCAGCAGAAAUAGCGUAAAUAAUUCUCUAAACAUAAGAAACAUAAAUAAAAUAGCAUGCAAUAAUAUGAUACAGUAACUACCAUAACUAACAGCCAUAAGGGAGACAUAAGCCAAANNN
rnacentral:lncRNA from 1 species